GAUGAACGCUAGCGGCAGGCCUAACACAUGCAAGUCGAGGGGUAGCAGGAUUAAGCUUGCUUAAUUGCUGACGACCGGCGCACGGGUGCGUAACGCGUAUGCAACCUACCUUAUACUGGGGUAUAGCCCGGAGAAAUUCGGAUUAAUCCCCCAUAGUACUAAUGAAUCGCAUGGUUUAUUAGUUAAAGCAUUGCGGUAUAAGAUGGGCAAGCGUCCUAUUAGCUAGAUGGUGAGGUAAAGGCUCACCAUGGCUACGAUAGGUAGGGGGCUUUGGAGGGGGGUCCCCCACACUGGUACUGAGACACCGACAAGACUCCUACGGAAGGCAGCAGUGAGGAAUAUUGGUCAAUGGGCGCAAGCCUGAACCAGCCAUGCCGCGUGCAGGAAGAAUGCCCUAUGGGUUGUAAACUGCUUUUAUUUGGGAAUAAACCUCUUUACGUGUAGAGAGCUGAAGGUACCAAAUGAAUAAGCACCGGCUAACUCCGUGCCAGCAGCCGCGGUAA
rnacentral:rRNA from 1 species